CCCUGUUAUCUCAUCUAGGGGUCUGAAGUAGCCUGUUCCCUGUUAUCUCAUCUAGGGGUCUGAAGGUCCACUGUUAUCUCAUCUAGGGGUCUGAAGGUCCACUGUUAUCUCAUCUAGGGGUCUGAAGUAGCCGGUUCCCUGUUAUCUCAUCUAAGGGUCUGAAGUAGCCUGUUCACUGUUAUCUCAUCUAGGGGUCUGAAGUAGCCUGUUCCCUGUUAUCUCAUCUAGGGGUCUGAAGGUCCACUGUUAUCUCAUCUAGGGGUCUGAAGGUCCACUGAUAUCUCAUCUAGGGGUCUGAAGGUCCACUGUUAUCUUAUCUAGGGGUCUGAAGGUUCACUGUUAUCUCAUCUAGGGGUCUGAAGGUCCACUGAUAUCCACGGGCGCCGGAAACGAGGCAGUUAACCCACUGGAUGUCGAUUAAGUCAGCCCUCCCCCC
ensembl:lncRNA